AGACAAUGAGGAUUAAGUGACUUCAGUCACACAGCUGGGAAGUGUCAGAGGUCAGAUUUGAAACCAGGACAUCUCUCUAGACCUGCAUCCUUCAUUUUUGAAGAUAACUAAUGCCAUCAUAGGGCAAAAUCUUCACUUGCCCAUGAGUUGGAUUUAAGUGAGGCAGAGUUUCACAAAGUCAUCAGCCUCACUCUUUCUUCGAGAGUCAUCGAUGUUCAGUGGCAAGAUAAAAUUUUGGCUGACUGUUAGAUGGCAUGAGGAUGACAACUAUAGCAGAUGACCUUCAUAUGGGAGUACUGAAUAACUACAUUUGUGAGCGCUAUCUCUCCACAUGUCAAGGAAACCAUCAGGAAGGUCUUGCUCAAGAAUUUCAGCCAGAUGAAUAUAUCCUCAUCAAAAGGAACUGGCAUUCUCCCAGGAUAAGGGGACAAGAGCCAUUGCACAGGGCCGAAGAGGCACG
rnacentral:lncRNA from 1 species